rnacentral:rRNA from 1 species
UACGUAGGGGGCGAGCGUUGUCCGGAUUUAUUGGGCGUAAAGAGCGUGUAGGCGGCCAGGUAGGUCUGCUGUGAAAACUCGAGGCUCAACCUCGAGACGUCGGCGGAAACCAUCUGGCUAGAGUCCGGAAGAGGAGAGUGGAAUUCCCAGUGUAGAGGUGAAAUUCGUAGAUAUUGGGAAGAACACCGGUGGCGAAGGCGGCUCACUGGCCCGUAACUGACGCUCAUGCACGACAGCGUGGGGAUCAAACAGG